UGGAGAGACCAGCGCCCAGGGAAGCGAGGGAGCAGCAGGCUCCUUCCGGCAGCGCAUCGAAAUGUGAGUCUGGGACACAGAGGGGGCUCCGAGACCGGCGUUGAUUCGGGCUCAGUUCAGGGAGAACCGGGGGCUGUUGGUUCGAGGCCGAGCGGAGCAGGAACUGGUCCCGGAACUUGGAGAGAGAGGCCUUUCUCGGGCUGUGUGUGGGCCUGCUGAGGGAGACACAGCGACAAGAAGCUGCUGGAGGAAAACACUUGCAGGAACAAGACAAUGUUAUGUGUGCUUGGUACGAAGCCAAGCGUGACCAGCUGCUUUGAACAACCAACAGAAAAAAAACACUUGAAUGACCAAGACAAAGUAAGAUUUCUUCAGUGCUGAGGCAAGUGUGACCAGAUCCUUCUGAUAAACAGCAGGGAUGUUCCCACUGUCAGAGCAGAGAACAUCCUUUCCGCAGUCACAGAGCAGAUUGAGUCGGACACACAGUGAGCUUAAUUUCCAACAUAUGUUCAAAUUUUUCCAACAGGAGAACAACGUUGGAGAAAUUAAACUUUAUUUUUCUUAUCUCUCCAUUCCACAUACACAGUUCCAACAAAUUUCAGCAUUCAUCACCCAUUGACUUUUACACCAUUUUUGAAGAUGGAUAAACUGAAAUUAUACACUCAGUAUCUGAAUGAAAUCUAUGUAAAAUUACUCUACUAGCAAUUAUCACAUAAUGAAUCACACCUCCACUAAGAAUAUUACUGGCUGCUGACAAUUAAGCCACUUUUACAAGUAGAAAAUGACCAGUAUGGAUUGAUGCCUAACCUCACUCAUUUGUGUUGCAAAUGCAUACAAAAGAAAAAGGAUGACGAGACUCACAUAUUGACAUUGCAGAAACCGACAGCUAAAGAUUAAUAAAGAUAUUCACACAUUCACAUCAUAGAAACUGGGAUACACAGGUUAGUAAACAACACUCACAUUCACAUAGCAAACUGACAGCAACUGAACGAUAACUACUUUCACAUAUCCACACAGCAGAAACUGGCAGCUACAUAUUGAUGACAACUCCCAAUUUCACAGACCAUAAAGUGACAGGUACAGUUUUAUAACUGCAUAUCCACAGAUUUAAAAAAUACCGACGGGUACAGUUUGAUAACUAUACUCAAAUAUUCACAAAGUAGAUUCCCACAGGUACAUGUUGAUAACUUUACUUGCAAAUUAUGAGGGACUGAUAGGUACAGGUUGCUCUACAUGCACAUAUCCAUACAGAAGAAAUUGAUAGGAACUGAUUGACGAUCACUUUAGAGAUAGCAAGAGCUGCAGAUUCUGGAGUCAGCCUUCCCAGUUUCACAAAGCAUUAGCUGACAGAUACAGUUUGGUAACUACUCUCAUAUUCACAGAGUAGAAGCUGACAGGCCGUUAUUGAUAACUGCACUCACAUGGUCACCAAGCAGAAACUCAGAGAUUGAUAACAGUGACAUUCAAAUUACAGAAACUGGUGGCUACACAAUGAUAGCUGCUGUCACACUUGCAUUGCAUGAACCGUUGGGGUCAGAUUAAUAACUAUGCUGUUGUUGAAUUGCUCGACAUGCUUGUUGCUUGUUUAGAGACAU